GAUCAUGGCUCAGGACGAACGCUGGCGGCGUGCCUAAUACAUGCAAGUCGAGCGAGCUGAAUUCAAAGAUUCCUUCGGGAUGAUUUGUUGGACGCUAGCGGCGGAUGGGUGAGUAACACGUGGGCAAUCUGCCCUAAAGACUGGGAUACCACUUGGAAACAGGUGCUAAUACCGGAUAACAACAUGAAUCGCAUGAUUCAAGUUUGAAAGGCGGCGCAAGCUGUCACUUUAGGAUGAGCCCGCGGCGCAUUAGCUAGUUGGUGGGGUAAAGGCCUACCCAGGCAAUGAUGCGUAGCCGAGUUGAGAGACUGAUCGGCCACAUUGGGACUGAGACACCGCCCAAACUCCUACGGGAGGCAGCAGUAGGGAAUCUUCCACAAUGGACGCAAGUCUGAUGGAGCAACGCCGCGUGAGUGAAGAAGGUUUUCGGAUCGUAAAGCUCUGUUGUUGGUGAAGAAGGAUAGAGGCAGUAACUGGUCUUUAUUUGACGGUAAUCAACCAGAAAGUCACGGCUAACUACGUGCCAGCAGCCGCGGUAAUACGUAGGUGGCAAGCGUUGUCCGGAUUUAUUGGGCGUAAAGCGAGCGCAGGCGGAAUGAUAAGUCUGAUGUGAAAGCCCACGGCUCAACCGUGGAACUGCAUCGGAAACUGUCAUUCUUGAGUGCAGAAGAGGAGAGUGGAACUCCAUGUGUAGCGGUGGAAGCGUAGAUAUAUGGAAGAACACCAGUGGCGAAGGCGGCUCUCUGGUCUGCAACUGACGCUGAGGCUCGAAAGCAUGGGUAGCGAACAGGAUUAGAUACCCUGGUAGUCCAUGCCGUAAACGAUGAGCGCUAGGUGUUGGGGACUUUCCGGUCCUCAGUACCGCAGCAAACGCAUUAAGCGCUCCGCCUGGGGAGUACGACCGCAAGGUUGAAACUCAAAGGAAUUGACGGA
rnacentral:rRNA from 1 species